rnacentral:lncRNA from 1 species
AUAUGAAGCACCCUCCCUAAAGGCUCAGGGGCCAUAGUGAAAGAGGACACAUGGGAUUGUAAGAGCCAGAUUAUGGGGGUGGAGGGUAAAGGCUGAAGCAAGUCCAUCUUGGAUGCUAACUCACUAUGUUAGCUUCUGAUUAACCCCAGUUCCAGGAAGGCUGCUGAAAUUUCCAGUUUAUGUGUUGUUCCUUGUGUAAGAGCAUGGACUUACUGCAAAUCCUGCCCUUAGGGCAAAUUCCUACCUAUUCCUGCGGAAGCAUGUGUAUCAUUCCCCUAUGGUUUAUAACCCCUGAGUCUGGGGGUAAUGGCACGGGGACCCACCAGCUUGUCUGCCGCCAUCUGGGGCUGGAGUGCAAUGGCAUGAUCUCAGCUCACUGCAACCUCUGCCUCCCGGGUUCAAGCAAUUCUCCUGUCUCAGCCUCCUGAGUAGCUGGAUUACAGAGUCUUUUCUAAGGCACCAACUACUUCCUUCAAGCAGCAGCCAGAGAUCUUUGCUUAAUGGCUGAGAAACACAGAGGAGAGACCCAGAGAGAAGGAGAAGGCCGCAUGAAGAUGGAGCAGAGACUGGAGUUAUUCAGCCAAGUCAAGGAAUGCCUGGAGCACCAGAAGCCGGAAGAGGCAAGGAAGGAUCCUCCCUUAGAGCAUUUGGAAGAGUGUGGCCCUGCCAACACCUUGACUUCAAACUUCUGGCCUCCAUAACUAUGAAAUAAAUUCUUGUUGUUUUAAGCCACCAAGUUUGUGGUAACUUCUUACAGCAACCCUAGGAAAUUAACACACAGAGUGUCAGUUACCUAAACAUUGUGAGCCUCAGUUACCUUAUCUGAAAAUGGGGCUAAAACUUAGACCUACCUUUUAGGGCUGCUUUAAGGAGUAAUAGAAAUUAUACAUGGGAAUUACAUGGCACCAAGUUGUUCCUUAAUAGAGGGAAACUGUUAUGAUGGCG